UUGACUUUGCCUUUAAUGUAUAAUUCCAGGUUAGAGGGGAACCUAGAGCAAUUGUAGUUGUAACCGCUAGAUCCGGCUGCUCAUGGAACUGGUUGACAUAUCGGUAUGUUAAGAUUGGAGCGGAUUUCUCUGUAACUACACUGUACGAUGGUGAGAGUUUGGCGGAUGAUCUUGGUGUAACCAAUACAUUACAAGGAAAUGGACCCAGCAGCUUUUCGGAUUCUAACCUGUACUUCAUUGAAGUCACAUUUGCACCCGGUAAAACAACCCCGACCGCUUUGAACAGCCUGACUCAACAGAUCUUACGUCUGAGAGCAGACUUACUCAACCAGGAUAAAAAAUUAGCUUUCUACAAAGUCCUGGGACAAGUUCCAGCACGGAUCCUGAUUUUUGCGAACCUCUUGCCGUCCCAGGCAGAUUCUCUCUACACUACUUUCAGCUGUACCGAUGGUUGCAGCAUGAAACUGACUGCGAUUCAGAGCCUUAAAGACUAUGUUGAAUACUGCUGAUGAACGCCUUCCGAUGUAACAAAUCGUAUUUCUCAAUUAAC